GGAAGGGUGACACACCAGAGAGUCUGAGGAAACUCUGGACCCUCUACCCUUACACCGUGCCUGUGUAUCUCUUCCUUUGGGUUGUUGCUGAGCUGUAUCCUUUAGAAGAAACCAGUAAACCUAAGGAAAGCAUUUCACUGAGUUCUGUGAGCUGUUCUAGCAAAUGAUUAAACCUGAAGAUAGGGUAUUUGGAACCACUGAUUUACAGCUGGUCGGUCAGAAGUAAGGAAGCAUAACAACACUACAUGGCAGUAGAAGAGUCCAGCGGACGGGGGAAUCACGGAUAACUGAGACGGAGGGCAUGACUGCAGGAAGGGAGUUCCUGUGCAGGCGCGGAGCGGUUGGCCUUGGCACUGGACAGCCACCCAUCAUAAGGAGACGGGAGUCAGGCCGACCAGGAGUUCCAGGAGAAAUAACGGGCGGAGAUCUCCGGUUAACUCAGUGGUUGUUGUCAGUGAAGUGAGAGACUUCCAGCACCUUCCCAUCUCAGCCCUUCGCUGGGAGCCUGGAAGCUGCUAGAAGAGAACGAUCCCAUUUUCCCAGCACCAAACUUAGCACGCGAUAUGCAUGGAUACCCAUUCACUCCGAACCUCAGCAC